rnacentral:rRNA from 1 species
CCUACGGGAGGCAGCAGUGAGGAAUAUUGGUCAAUGGACGAGAGUCUGAACCAGCCAAGUAGCGUGAAGGAUGACUGCCCUAUGGGUUGUAAACUUCUUUUAUAUGGGAAUAAAAUGUUCCACGUGUGGGAUUUUGUAUGUACCAUAUGAAUAAGGAUCGGCUAACUCCGUGCCAGCAGCCGCGGUAAUACGGAGGAUCCGAGCGUUAUCCGGAUUUAUUGGGUUUAAAGGGGGCGUAGGUGGAUUGUUAAGUCAGUUGUGAAAGUUUGCGGCUCAACCGUAAAAUUGCAGUUGAAACUGGCAGUCUUGAGUACAGUAGAGGUGGGCGGAAUUCGUGGUGUAGCGGUGAAAUGCUUAGAUAUCACGAAGAACUCCGAUUGCGAAGGCAGUUCACUGGACUGCAACUGACAUUGAUGCUCGAAAGUGUGGGUAUCAAACAGGAUUAGAUACCCCUGUAGUC